rnacentral:misc_RNA from 1 species
UAAACCCUUUCUUUUCUCAAGCCU